rnacentral:sRNA from 1 species
AAUUUAACAGAGGAAUUCUUAGAGCCUAGGUCAGUCGUCUACUUGUUUGACUUCCUGGACUAUGAACAUUGUUGCCAUAAUGAAGAUGCCUGGGAAGCACUAGCAGAUAAACUCAGCCAAGUGAAUGACAACCCACUUUUAGCUGAGAUUGUUAGAGAACAGUGGGACAAACGCAGAAAGUGGUGGCCUCAGACCAGAUUGAGUAUAACAACAAAUCAAAUUAAAAUAUCAACCAGAUGCCAAAGUCUCAUUCAGAGAGUGAAGGAUAGUUUGUUAUGUAUGGGAAAUGAUAAAACCUGAUCUCCCAAUGAAACAAAGAGAAUAUGCUCUCAUCAGCUAAGAUGUGUGAUGGUUUCAACCGUAUUUACUCAUGGCAAUACUUCGAACUAAAAUGAUGUCACCAGAUAAACCUUGGUGAUGAAGACUAACUAACUCACAAAUACGUUAUUAUUUGAUGAAAAUGUCAAUAUGAUUUAAAUGUAAAUAAAGUGAACACUUUUUCAAA